rnacentral:rRNA from 1 species
GACGAACGCUGGCGGCGUGCCUAAUACAUGCAAGUCGAACGCUUCUUUCCUCCCGAGUGCUUGCACUCAAUUGGAAAGAGGAGUGGCGGACGGGUGAGUAACACGUGGGUAACCUACCCAUCAGAGGGGGAUAACACUUGGAAACAGGUGCUAAUACCGCAUAACAGUUUAUGCCGCAUGGCAUAAGAGUGAAAGGCGCUUUCGGGUGUCGCUGAUGGAUGGACCCGCGGUGCAUUAGCUAGUUGGUGAGGUAACGGCUCACCAAGGCCACGAUGCAUAGCCGACCUGAGAGGGUGAUCGGCCACACUGGGACUGAGACACGGCCCAGACUCCUACGGGAGGCAGCAGUAGGGAAUCUUCGGCAAUGGACGAAAGUCUGACCGAGCAACGCCGCGUGAGUGAAGAAGGUGUUCGGAUCGUAAAACUCUGUUGUUAGAGAAGAACAAGGACGUUAGUAACUGAACGUCACCUGACGGUAGCUAACCAGAAAGCCACGGCUAACUACGUG